AGGACGAACGCUGGCGGCGCGCUUAACACAUGCAAGUCGAGCGAGAACCGGGACUUCGGUCCCGGGGACAGCGGCGAACGGGUGAGUAACACGUGGGUAAUCAACCCUCGGCACCGGGAUAGCCCGAGGAAACUCGGAUUAAUACCGGAUAGCCCCUCCGACUCUCGAGUCGGUCGGGAAAGGUAGCUUAGGCCUCUGGCCGGGGACGAGCCCGCGGCGGAUUAGCUUGUUGGUGGGGUAAUGGCCUACCAAGGCAACGAUCCGUAGCUGGUCUGAGAGGACGAUCAGCCACACUGGGACUGAGACACGGCCCAGACUCUUACGGGAGGCAGCAGUGGGGAAUCUUGCGCAAUGGGCGAAAGCCUGACGCAGCGACGCCGCGUGAGGGAAGAAGGCCUUGGUUGUAAACCUCUUCAGGAGGGACGAAGCACUCGGUGAAUAGCCAGAGGUGACGGUACCUCCAGAAGAAGACCCGGCUAACUACGUGCCAGCAGCCGC
rnacentral:rRNA from 1 species